UCUCCGUUGGCGAACCAGCGGAGGGAUCAUUACCGAGUGCAAACUCAUAACCCUUUGUGAACCUAUAUCUGUUGCUUCGGCGGCUCGCUCUCGGGCGAGCCAGCCGGUAAUAUCAGUAUCUCUGUUUGAACCCGACGAUACUUCUGAGUGUUCUUAGCGAACAGUUAAAACUUUUAACAACGGAUCUCUUGGCUCUA
rnacentral:misc_RNA from 1 species